CAGAGUUUGCAGCUCUGGGAGAGAUUCCUUCCAUUUGCUUAGGAGAAGGACAGGGAAGAAUAAAGAUGUUUCUUGCCACUUGGAUACCAGCUCAGCCACAGUAGGAGAGGGCAUGAGGCAGAGUACUGGGGCCCCCAUUCAAGGCCCCAGCUUCUGGAUGACAUUUCUAGAUACACCCUGAGCCAGAAGGAAACCUGCUGCCUUGAAGGGAAGAACCCAAUCCUGGAAGGAUUAAUCACUUGCUGACUAAAGAGCCCUUGGGCCCUAAAUAAUCAGCAGUGGCAGUACUUGCCAUGCGCAAGGUUUGUUCGUGUAUGGCCCAGCACAUUCCCAGCUGUGGUGGCUACAGGGAGAGAUUUCUUCUGCUUGAGAAAAUGAGAGGCUGAAGGAAGGAGGAAGAGAGAAGAGAGAAGAGGCAAAAGGACGCUUGCCAGAACUGGAAAAAAAUCACCUUAAACUUCAUAUGGAACCAAAAGAGAGCCUGCAUAGCCAAGAAAAUCCUAUGCAAAAAGAACAAAGCCAGAGGCAUCAUGCUACCUGAUUUCAAUCUAUACGACAAGGCUACAGUAAUCAAUCAUGGUACUGGUACCAAAACAGAGACAUAGACUAAUGGAACAGAACAGAGGCCCUGGAGGCAACACCACACAUCUACAACCAUCCGAUCUUUGACAAAUCUGACAAAAACAAGAAGUGGGGAAAGGAUUCCCUGUUUAAUAAAUGGU
rnacentral:lncRNA from 13 species